UCGCCCUUUACCUGGUUGAUCCUGCCAGUGGUAUAUGCUUGUCUCAAAGACUAAGCCAUGCAAGUGCCUGUAUGAGUGUUUAUACAACGAAACUGCGAAUGGCUCGGUAAAACAGCAAUAAUUUCUUCGAGGAUAAAUACUACCGGAUAACCGUAGUAAAGCUAGAGCUAAUACGUUCCAUUGCAGCGCGAGUUUUUCCGCUCGUGGUACUAAGUAUUAGGUACAAGCCAGGAUUUUUUUUUCUGGUGAUUCAUACUUAUCUUCUGAUCGCACACUUGUUGUGCGACGCCUCGAUUAAAUUUCUGACCUAUCAACUAUGAUGGUAAGGUAGGGUCUUACCAUGGUUGUGACGGGUAACGGACCGUGGGUGCGGGAUUCCGGAGAGGGAGCCUGAGAAACGGCUACCACAUCCAAGGAAGGCAGCAGGCGCGCAACUUACCCAAUCCGAACUUCGGGAGGUAGUGACAAGAAAUAUCAAUAGGGGGACCAAUGGUCUUUCUAAUUGGAAUGAAAACAAUGUAAACACAUUAUUGAGGAACCAGCAGAGGGCAAGUCUGGUGCCAGCAGCCGCGGUAAUUCCAGCUCUGUAAGCGUAUACCAAAGUUGUUGCAGUUAAAACGCUCGUAGUCGGAUUUUGGCGUGGUGCUUAUUAGAUGCCCAACAUUUUUGGUGUAUCGACUUAUAGUCCCGCCUUUGUGGAGGGGGGCGUGGUGGUGCUUUAUUGCAUUGCUGCGUUUCCGCCACUGUUUACUGUGAAAAAAUUAGAGUGUUCAAAGCGAGCGAUUGCCAUAUGAAUAGAUUAGCAUGGAAUAAUAGAAUAGGACCUGGUUCUGUCUUAUUGGUUUGUCGGAUUCAGGUAAUGAUUAAGAGGGACGGUCGGGGGCAUUUGUAUUCCAGGGUUAGAGGUGAAAUUCUUAGAUCCUUGGAAGACAAACAGCUGCGAAAGCGUCUGCCAAGGACGUUUUCAUUGAUCAAGAACGAAAGUAAGGGGAUCGAAGACGAUCAGAUACCGUCGUAGUCUUUACUAUAAACGAUGAUGACUGGGGAUACGAGGUGUCCUUUUAUUUGGCUCCUUGCGCACCCUCCGGGAAACCAAAGUGUUUGAUUUCUGGGGGGAGUAUGGUCGCAAGUCUGAAACUUAAAGGAAUUGACGGAAGGGCAUCACCGGGUGUGGAGCCUGCGGCUUAAUUUGACUCAACACGGGAAAACUUACCAGGUCCAGACAUAGUGAGGAUUGACAGAUUGAGAGCUCUUUCUUGAUUCUAUGGUUGGUGGUGCAUGGCCGUUCUUAGUUGGUGGAGUGAUCUGUCUGGUUAAUUCCGUUAACGAGCGAGACCCGGGCGUGCUAAAUAGGGUGUGUUAUUCUUGUAAUAGCAUGAUUGUUCCCUUCUUAGACGGACUGUAGGCUUUUAGUCUAUGGAAGCUCCGGGCAAUAACAGGUCUGAGAUGCCCUUAGAUGUUCUGGGCCGCACGCGUGCUACACUGAACGGUUCACUGGGUGAGGUAGUGCGAAAGCAUGACCUAAUCUCUAAAUCCGUUCGUGCUGGGGAUAGAAGCUUGCAAUUAUCCUUCUUGAACGAGGAAUACCUUGUAGGCGUGAGUCAUCAUCUCGCGCCGAAUACGUCCCUGCCCUUUGUACACACCGCCCGUCGCUCCUACCGAUUGAGUGGUCCGGUGAGGCUUUGGGAGGACUGGAUGGAUUGUGUUCACAAACUGUUCGGGCUGAACUUAGUCAAACCUUAUCACUUAAAGAAGAAAUCGUACAGGUU
rnacentral:rRNA from 1 species